GCUAUCUUCAGGAGCUCCAAAGACUGGAGAUAAAACAAUAUUAUUCAGUUGGCAAAACAGUCAGGAUUUGAAAUUGAUGCACUGGCGAUUGUGAUCUCUACACAAAACACGGCAAGUAAACUCAACCUUCAAAUGAUAUUAUACAACUGAAACACCUACCGUACACGCAAGGUUCUUUAUUUG